ensembl:lncRNA
ACAUGAACCAGCACGGUAGUUGGCAGACCAGUCUUUAUCCUACAUUGUCAGUAAUAUAGAUGAUUCAACCAACAACUUUGCAACUUUAUGAAGGUGCUGGAGUAAUGCAUUCAAUAGAAAUUUACCUAGAAUUUUGAUCUUCUUUCAGGUAUCCACAGGACUCACUGUGCAUCCCCACAGCUGUGUUUUCCCCUGCAGACCAGCCUGGGAGGGGCAUAUUCUUCCCUCCCGAUGCCCAGGUUGGUCUAAAUGCAAUCGAAAGGGAGUAAGAGAUGGAAGAGAAGAAAUAGAGGGAAGAGCAGGACUUGUGAAGUAGUGGAGCGAUGUAGCCACAGCUGAAGGAAGUGUGGAGCUACCGGAAAAGGCACCAGAGAUUCGCCAUCAGUGCCUCUGGAGGGAGUGAGGCUCUGUGAUGUCUGGAUUUCAGCCUUUUG